rnacentral:rRNA from 1 species
GACGAACGCUGGCGGCGUGCCUAAUACAUGCAAGUAGAACGCUGAAGGAGGAGCUUGCUCUUCUGGAUGAGUUGCGAACGGGUGAGUAACGCGUAGGUAACCUGCCUGGUAGCGGGGGAUAACUAUUGGAAACGAUAGCUAAUACCGCAUAAGAGUAGAUGUUGCAUGACAUUUGCUUAAAAGUUGCAAUUGCAUCACUACCAGAUGGACCUGCGUUGUAUUAGCUAGUUGGUGGGGUAACGGCUCACCAAGGCGACGAUACAUAGCCGACCUGAGAGGGUGAUCGGCCACACUGGGACUGAGACACGGCCCAGACUCCUACGGGAGGCAGCAGUAGGGAAUCUUCGGCAAUGGACGGAAGUCUGACCGAGCAACGCCGCGUGAGUGAAGAAGGUUUUCGGAUCGUAAAGGUCUGUUGUAAGAGAAGAACGAGUGUGAGAGUGGAAAGUUCACACUGUGACGGUAUCUUAUCAGAAAGGGACGGCUAACUACGUG